UCUCCGGCGUGUUGCUCCGCCGCCGUGGCGCCUCCUGUGCGAUUCCGAGCAGCCGCCGUCGUGCCUCUCACGCUCAAUCUACCCUGCGCCGGAGUUGGAGGAGCAGCAAGGGGCGGCGCUGGGACGGAGGUGGAGGAGCACGGAUUCGGCGCCAGCAGACUCCUCUACGAGUAAGGUCCUCCUCUUCCUUCUUUCUAUCCUCCACGGAUCGGGGCACACAUGAGAUGGCGCGGUCUGCGUGACUCCAUGAGAUCCAUGGAUGGCGGUUCUUCGGCCGGCGCGGGGAUGCGCGAUGGCUGCCGGUGCUCGAGAUCUGGCGGAUGGAGGGCUGCAGCGGCGGCGGGAUCGAGUUCUGGUCUCCAGCUUGCCCAUCCCCCACGUUUCCCUCUCCUCUUCCUCUCUGCUGUUGGCCACGCUGGCCAUGGCCCUCAAAUCCGACGCCUGCAUCUGCGAUGCUAGCAGCAGAUCUGGUUGGGAAAGCGUAAGGAGAUAAACAGCGAGAGAUUGUCUUAGCACACGGAUUCAUGAGUGCUGCAAAUUUAUAUAUAGUGCUUUGUACUGAUGUUUAAAGUUUAUUUAUACAAGUAUUGGAAAGAGGAAUACAAUAUUGCAUUUCUAAAGAAAUCAUCAUGUAGAUAUGUUUUUGUACUUUACUCAGCGAAAAUUGCAGCCAGUUAUUUUGAUAAUAUAUCUCAGUUUGUGUGUCCUUACUAUUCCUUAUUUAUGAAUUUGAGAAGAUUAAUUUCCACCUAUUGGUGCUGAAGGUCAAGCUGCUCACUUUCUUCUUGGAUGUGGACCAGUCUCCUCUGGUAUAGCAGAUCUCACAAAGGAUCUUCAUCAUCAGGACAACUCCAUGUUCCAGUCAGAAGGAUUCUAAUGGUUGUGCUGGGUGUUUGUAACGGUGAGGUUGAGCAUAUCGAUUUGUAUAAUGCACAGACCGCGAAUAAUGGUGUUGUGGUGACUGAUGCACUCACACAGUUUCCUGAAGGUAAAGUUGCUUUCAGUUGCUUAUUCAUCCUUGUCGGAUCUUGUUUAUAGCAUAUAUACUUGCUUUCAGUUGCUUAUGAUCUACUCAAGCUAGCAAAUUCCUUUUGUUGUACAGUUGGCCACUUUUGGCAUAUGUGAUAAUAUGCAUAUUUGUCAGUGUUCAUGGUACUACCUCCCUAUCACUCACACACCUAGAUAUUUUCUU